GGGCCGGUAGCUCAGCUGGUUAGAGCAGCGGACUCAUAAUCCGUAGGUCGGAGGUUCGAGUCCUCCCCGGCCCA
rnacentral:tRNA from 1 species